rnacentral:rRNA from 1 species
UUUUCCGGUUGAUCCUGCCGGAGGCCAUUGCUAUUGGAGUCCGAUUUAGCCAUGCUAGUUGCACGAGUUCAGACUCGUAGCAGAUAGCUCAGUAACACGUGGCCAAACUACCCUCUGGAGCACGAUAACCUCGGGAAACUGAGGCUAAUAGUGCAUACGGCUCGCCGCCUGGAGUGGCGCGAGCCGGAAAGGCUCCGGCGCCAGAGGAUGUGGCUGCGGCCGAUUAGGUAGACGGUGGGGUAACGGCCCACCGUGCCAAUAAUCGGUACGGGUUGUGAGAGCAAGAGCCCGGAGACGGUAUCUGAGACAAGAUACCGGGCCCUACGGGGCGCAGCAGGCGCGAAACCUUUACACUGCACGCCAGUGCGAUACGGGGACUCCAAGUGCGAGGGCAUAACGUCCUCGCUUUUCUCGACCGUAAGGUGGUCGAGGAAUAAGGGCCGGGCAAGAAUCGAAUUCCCG